rnacentral:rRNA from 1 species
GGUCAUGGCUCAGGAUGAACGCUAGCGGCAGGCCUAACACAUGCAAGUCGAGGGGCGAUCGGGAGUUGAAGCUUGCUUCAAUUGCCGGCGACCGGCGCACGGGUGCGUAACGCGUAUGUAACCUACCUAUAACAGGGGCAUAACACUGAGAAAUUGGUACUAAUUCCCCAUAAUAUUCGGAGAGGCAUCUCUCCGGGUUGAAAACUCCGGUGGUUAUAGAUGGACAUGCGUUGUAUUAGCUAGUUGG